AUACGUAGGUGGCAAGCGUUGUCCGGAAUUAUUGGGCGUAAAGCGCGCGCAGGCGGUCCUUUAAGUCUGAUGUGAAAGCCCACGGCUCAACCGUGGAGGGUCAUUGGAAACUGGGGGACUUGAGUGCAGAAGAGGAAAGUGGAAUUCCAAGUGUAGCGGUGAAAUGCGUGGAGAUUUGGAGGAACACCAGUGGCGAAGGCGACUUUCUGGUCUGUAACAGACGUUGAGGGUCGAAAGAGUGGAGAGCAAACAGGAUUAGAUACCCUGGUGGUCCACGCCGUAAACGAUGAGUGCUAAGUGUUAGGGGGUUUCCGCCCCUUAGUGCUGCAGCUAACGCAUUAAGCGCUCCGCCUGGGGAGUACGGUCGCAAUACUGAAACUCAAAUGAAGUGACGGGG
rnacentral:rRNA from 1 species